GAGUUGAACUCAGGAUCUUGCAUUUGCCAGGCAGGCACUUAUGCCACUGAUCUAUUUCCCUGAUCCAGGACUAACUCCCUUUAAAGCACAAAUAGUAAACAGGCCUCAAAGAAAUAUUGUGAAUGCUGCAGCCAGAAAAAGGAAUGGAGAGUGUGGGGGAGAAUCCAUGGUCAAGUUCACACAGUCUUGGGAUGUGAUCUACUGAAAGGCAAAGACCAAUAUGGGAGUUUAUCAUAGACUGCUCUUCAGUCUGGUUUCCACCACAUCUACAGAGUCCCUGAACAAUAAGCAGUUCACAGUCACAUUCAAUGGGUAGAUAAAUAAAACUCCAGCCAUCCUGAGAUUUAUGAUGAAGACCUUUCCCCUAAGAAUUUAUUACAAAUUCUGCAAAGAAAAACUUACAUGUAAUCAGAAAUACAAACUAAAAUUUUAGAAUUUUUGGAAAAAUUUAAUUAUUAAAUGAUUUCAAAUAAGAAUCCAUACAUAAAAAACAAAUAUCAAAAAUAGUCUACCAACACACAGCUAUGUGAUUUCAAGAAUACUAGAAGGAAUUUCUAUCUCAGCUAUCAAGGAAAAAGAAUAACAGACAAGCCACACACAUGCACAUGCAUGUACUUACAUACAGAUGAACGCCUGAGCCAUGGGCAUCAGAAAUAAAGACAUAAAUAGGAAUAAAUGAGGCAUUAAACAGAAAACCUACCUACUAAGUCAUAUUCCUAUACCUCGAAGGAAAUAGCAAAUUUAAUAAACUACAAGUUAGUUUGAAUUUCUUAAAAUGGCAAGAGAAAGCACAAAUAAACCAAGAAGUUAGGAUAAUUAUUGAAUUAAAAUACAUUUUCAAAAGAUAUUGUAAGUUACUUGAAAUUUUUGAAGGAGGAACUGAAGAUUUAAGUUUAGAGAUCAUUAUUCUUGGUUACUAUUCUCAAGUAUUCAGUGAACAAUUUCCAUGUGUAAAUCUCUCUUUAUUUUUAAAGUAACUUUGAUUAUAGUCAAUUUAUAUUUUCUGCUUCAUUGAUUUAUUUUGAUUUGUUUUGUUUUGGGAUUCCACUCCUUUGAAUAUCACUCAGUCUUUUUUGAUCAUUGAUUUCUACUUCUGUCCUCUGUUACCACCAAAGCCAUAGAUAGAUAAAAAGAUAGAUAGAUAGAAAUAUAAACAUAUAUGUAGAUAGAUAUAGAUAUAUCUUUCUAAAGUAAUAUAUAAGCAUAUGUAUAUAUACAGACAUAUUUGAGGUAAUGUGAAAAUAUGGAUAUUAAAAAACUUUUAAGAAAAUUAUAGGGACAACUAAACCUCAAUCUAAUAAAGGAAGAGCAGUUACCCUACUGCCAAUAUGAGAAACCAUUUAUUGCUCAAUCUGUCUGGCUUCUAAACAUGAAAAUAAGUGACAGUACAUCAUUGUCUGAUCGAGAAAAACAGUCCUGAAUAUAUCUCCAUAGCAGUCUGGAUUCAGCACCAUGAGUGGCUCAGAUAAAUUAGCCCAUACCUUCAUUAAAAGAUAACACAUUUUCAGGAAAAUAUGAAAAGAUGGGGUCAUUGCCACAGACUGAAAGCAUCGUAGUAUUCUGGACUGGACCCCGAAUGAGGGAGAAGAAGGUGUGAUAGUGUCAAGGCUUCUGAAAUUCCAAUGAAUACUACUUUUGUGAGUACUCACCAUUGUCGCCUUAGCUUUGGUAAACGCUCCCUGUUCCUCAUGAAGCAAGAGGCAAAGUCUCUAGGAAAUAAAAGCUGUCAUUACAGCCCUUUUGUAAUGUG
ensembl:lincRNA